rnacentral:rRNA from 1 species
AGUGAACGCUGGCGGCGUGCCUAAUACAUGCAAGUCGAACGGAGAUUAAGUAGCUUGCUAUUUAAUCUUAGUGGCGCACGGGUGAGUAAUAUAUAGCUAACUUGCCCAUUACUAAGGGACAACAGUUGGAAACGACUGCUAAUACCUUAUACUCCGUAUCUAUAUAAGUAGAUACGGGAAAGUUUUUCGGUAAUGGAUAGGGCUAUAUCGUAUCAGCUAGUUGGUAAGGUAAUGGCUUACCAAGGCUAUGACGCGUAACUGGUCUGAGAGGAUGAUCAGUCACACUGGAACUGAGACACGGUCCAGACUCCUACGGGAGGCAGCAGUAGGGAAUAUUGCUCAAUGGGGGAAACCCUGAGGCAGCAACGCCGCGUGGAGGAUGACACUUUUCGGAGCGUAAACUCCUUUUCUUGGGAAAGAAUUAUGACGGUACCCAAGGAAUAAGCACCGGCUAACUCCGUG